UACAGAGGGGGCAAGCGUUAUUCGGAAUUAUUGGGCGUAAAGGGCGCGUAGGCGGCUUGGCAAGUGGAAGGUGAAAUCCCUCGGCUUAACCGAGGAACUGCCCUCCAAACUGCUUAGCUUGAGACCGGGAGAGGUGAGUGGAAUUCCCAGUGUAGCGGUGAAAUGCGUAGAUAUCAUCAGGAACUCCGGUGGCGAAGGCGGCUCGCUGGACCUUUUCUGACGCUCAUGCACGAAAGCGUGGGGAGCAAACAGG
rnacentral:rRNA from 1 species